GACGACCGCUGGCGGCGUGCCUAAUACAUGCAAGUAGAACGCUGAAGGAGGAGCUUGCUUCUCUGGAUGAGUUGCGAACGGGUGAGUAACGCGUAGGUAACCUGCCUGGUAUCGGGGGGUAACUAUUGGAAACGAUAGCUAAUACCGCAUAAUAGUAUAUGUUGCAUGACAUUUGCCUAAAAUGUGCAAUUGCAUCACUACCAGAUGGACUUGCGUUGUUUUAGCUAGUUGGUGGGUUAACGGCUCACCAAGGCGACGAUACAUAGACGACCGGAGAGGGUGAUCGUCAACACUGGGACUGGGACAGGGCCCAGACUCCUACGGGAGGCAGCAGUAGGGAAUCGUAGGCAAUGGAAGGAAGUCUGACCGAGCACCGCCGCGUGAGUGAAGAAGGUUUCCGGAUCGUGAAGCUCUGUUGUAAGAGAAGAACGAGUGUGAGAGUGGAAAGGUCACACUGUGACGGUAUCUUACCAGAAAGGGACGGCUAACUACGUG
rnacentral:rRNA from 1 species